GGGCCCGGGCCCGUAAGGAACAGGAGCAGAGUUCCCGGGAAGCUCAGCUAGGUUAGAGCGACAGAGGAAGCCCUGUCGAAGCUCAUAACCUGUUGGUCCCCGGUUCAAAUCCGGGCGGGCCCA
rnacentral:tRNA from 1 species